GAGAACCACAGAUGCGCCAGCAACUUCUGAACUACCUCUCCUACAUCUAGGACAGGGCGCAUCUUUCAUCUUUGACUUCAAAGCAUAAAAACCAUGACUGGAAGAAGCUUGAGAUGGGGAUGUUGUUGACAACAAUAUGAAAAUACAGAAAAUCGAGACAUUUGUCUUCAGAUAGUCUGCUAUAAUUAAGCGUUUAUUUCAUAGCCACAUAAUGAGAAAUGAACAUUCAGGAAGUGAUCCAACAGUUGGAAUCUUGGCCAUCUACAGUCAUCUUAAAAUGUUCAGCCUCCUCUUUGCUCAUGGCGAAAGUACAAAGGUGGAUCCGAGCGCCAGCCAGGGCCACCUGCGUCUCUGAUAUCCAUUCCAGAUGUUGACCAGACUGCACGGAGCCGGGCUCGUGGCACCGGCCUGAGCUGGCCUCCUCCUCCAGGUGGGAUUCCUCAGGCUGCUUCCCCCACGCCCUCAGCCUCACCAGACACACUAAACUCCCACCACUUUUCCCAACCCUCAUUUUCCUUCCCUAAUUCCUCACUUGGGUGGGUGGUGGGGUGGGGGCUGUCUAGUGACAAGGCCCCUCACAUGGUCUCACUUACCACCUUGCCUCUUCAAAAUGAGAAACCUAAAGCAAAGUAAAUAAAAUGGGAAAAAAAAAAAAAAAAAAAAAGAGCCCUGAUGUAGUUUGCUAAUGCUCUUUGCCAGCCAGCCGGGUACAACUUAUGCAAGUUCCCUCUGAGUUUCCCUGAGAGGCUGACAGUCCCAUCUGACCCCCUGUGCCUGCCCAGGGGCUCAUAGUGGCUCUGUCUGUAUGUGAGGGAUUUUAUGCUAUCCUAUGCUAACUUCCUGAUAAAACAUUGCUAAGCAUAGAAAUAUAUCAUAAAUCUUGCAGGAGCCAACUUCAUUUAUCUGAAUGUUGGUUACUGUCUAGUGUGGGUAAACAAAUGCCAGGGCAUUUAUAACCCUCUGGGGGACCACAGAGAAGAGCUGUUAACACUCUGGCCCAGGGAGUAUUGCUCCCCGUCCUGAGGACGGCAACGAUUCUGGGCCUGAGGCCUGUCCCUCUCAGUUCCCUGAGGGCCAGCAGGGUCGGGCACUUGACAAGCAC